rnacentral:tRNA from 1 species
GCAGGGGUGCCGGAGCGGUCAAAUGGCUUUUCUUAGAAAGAAAAUCUAGGAAAAGAGAGACCAGACGGGACAGCCUCAAAAGCUGUUGGCUCAGUGCCUACCAAGGUUCAAAUCCUUGCCCCUGCA